rnacentral:rRNA from 1 species
GAUGAACGCUGGCGGCGUGCCUAAUACAUGCAAGUCGAGCGAACGGACGAGAAGCUUGCUCCUCUGAUGUUAGCGGCGGACGGGCGAGUAACACGUGGAUAACCUACCUAUAAGACUGGGAUAACUUCGGGAAACCGGAGCCAAUAACGGAUAAUAAUUAGAACCGCACGGAUCAAAAGUGAAAGACAGUCUUGCUGUCACAUAUAGAUGGAUCCGCGCUGCAUUAGCUAGUUGGUAAGGUAACGGCUUACCAAGGCAACGAUGCAUAGCCGACCUGAGAGGGUGAUCGGCCACACUGGGACUGAGACACGGUCCAGACUCCUACGGGAGGCAGCAGUAGGGAAUCUUCCGCAAUGGGCGAAAGCCUGACGGAGCAACGCCGCGUGAGUGAUGAAGGUCUUCGGAUCGUAAAGCUCUGUUAUUAGGGAAGAACAGAUGUUUGAGUAACUGUGAUCAUCUUGACGGUACCUAAUCAGAAAGCCACGGCUAACUACGUG